UGCAGGUGAUGCUAACUUGCUAUCUAAAUACACUUUGAUGACAACCACCAAGAUCGCUGAUGCA
rfam:Anas platyrhynchos breed Pekin duck contig204253, whole genome shotgun sequence.